rnacentral:pre_miRNA from 1 species
AGGAGUAACAACCCCAGUGGCGGGGCCAGCUCUGGAAACCUGGAUUCAGCUCCGGCAGGAACUCCGGAGCUCUCCGUCUGCAGGGCCUGGAGGCUCCAUGGCGGG